CUCAUUUUGACAUAUAAUAUACAAAUGGCUACGAAAGAACGUUUAAAACUCAGAAGUAUUUAUGCAUUGAAUUAAUUUCGUUCGUUUUCCGUGUUAUUUAUACUUCAAGAAUCAACGUGAUAAAAACUCCCGCUACAUGGCCAACAGCGCCAAAAUGGGGAAUAUCAAACAGGCACGACAGCACUUUGACAGCCGCCAGAUGCGAUACGGGUCAGUUUAAAUUUAAAUACUUAAGGCGAUAAGAAUGACUUAUCGGGUAUAUUGGGACAGCUUUAGAGUAUUGACUGCUAAUUACUGACAGUAGAAGGUAAUAAUUUAUCUCUAUCGGUAGUAUAUU